AUGGCAAUAACGACAAUGCCGAGACUCAGGGAUGUGCUUGUUCAGUACCUCGUCUCUUCUGAUUCAAAUCGUGAUUUCACAUUCUCUAGAUGGAAGAAUGGAUUCACCUCAACCUUCUUCAUUAAUUUGCUUCUACAAUAUCUCCAUCACGUUCCAGUUUCAUCUUCUCCGGAAAUUGCUCCUCUGCGUCGGAGACGGAGGAGCCUUCUUCUUGUUUGUCUCUUCUUCUAUGAAUAUCAAAGAUUAGAAGAAACAAAUCAGAUGAACAAAACUCAAGUAUGCAUGAAGAUUAUUGAAGAUAAUCUGCGAGAGAUACGAUGA